AAGAGGAAAACCAUGACCAAGAUUCCAGUGAUGAGGAUGGACCCUGUCCUUCCAGUAAGAGGAAGUGCCUGCGAAUUGAAGAAGACGAGGACUGAGGAAAUUGGAAACAUCUCCCUUAGCAUGUCAAAAAGACCAGUGAAACCAAGCCUUGGGGCUACUGCCAGCAACCUCAAGAACUGGAUUGGGCAAGAUUGAGAGCAGAAUACAGAAACUAAA